rnacentral:rRNA from 1 species
CGAACGCGGAUUAGCCCAAACCAAUAAAGUUUUCUUUAUUGGGGUUGCGGACAUAUCAUAACGAAGAGGUAUCGUAAUUGAAGAGGUUUGGAAAGAUCCACCACAGAAGGUAAUAGUCCUGUAUGUUAAACGAGAAGACUUUAGAUAUGAUCCAGAGUACCACGGGACACGUGAAACCCUGUGGGAAGCAGGAGGGACCACCCUCCAAGGCUAAAUACUACCUAGUGACCGAUAGCGUAUAGUACCGUGAGGGAAAGGUGAAAAGA